CCCUGCACAAGCUCUCUCUUUUAUGUUGCCAUCCAAGUAAGACAUGACUUGCCCCUCCUUGCCUUCUGCCGUGAUUGUGAGGCCUCCCCAGCCAUGUGGAACUAGGAAAAGUGAAUCAAAACCAAGGGACAUGCUGAGACAACUGGAGAAAUUUGAAUGUGAAAGAGGCUCAAAGGAGUAGACUCCACUCUCAAGAUCCAGCCUGCAAAGCUUGAGGACUCGGCCAUGUAUCUCUGUGCCAGCAG